AAGUAUUAUAGCUCUUUAAGAAUUUGCCUGGCAGCUCUUCCAGUAUGUUCUCGAAAGCCCCC
rnacentral:snRNA from 1 species